UGCUGAUGGCCAGGCCAGGUCGGGCCAGGACAGGCCAGACCCAAGCCCCAGCAGAGCUGCAUCUGCUCUCCCAGGGAAUCGCUUUGGGAGCAGGCCCUGGCUGGAGCUCCUACGAGCCCCACUCCAUGAAGCAAAAGCCAGUGGAGCAUUCCAUGCUGGUGACAAGGAGAGGACAAGGUCACGCCUCACCUGUCACAGCCCAGGAAAGCUACGUCAGGUAGCCUCAGGGCUCAGCACAGACGCCACCUGUUUAGCCAGAUUUUUCCUAAUUGGGGAAGAAUCAACUGCUUCUUUAAUUUCUAAAGCGCAUUAUCUAUCUUGGUGUUUUCAUUUUAGAUUUAUGGUUUCUGUGAUGUUUGACAUCAGCAUGUAUGUUUAGAAAUAAAAUAUAGAGUGGUCAUUACGUCUCUG